AUUGAACGCUGGCGGCACGCCUCACACAUGCAAGUCGAACGGUAGAGGGGGCAACCCCUCGAGAGUGGCGAACGGGUGAGUAAUGCAUCGGAACGUGCCCAGUAGUGGGGGAUAGCCCGGCGAAAGCCGGAUUAAUACCGCAUGAGACCUACGGGUGAAAGGGGGGGAUCGCAAGACCUCUCGCUAUUGGAGCGGCCGAUGUCAGAUUAGGUAGUUGGUGGGGUAAAGGCCUACCAAGCCGACGAUCUGUAGCUGGUCUGAGAGGACGACCAGCCACACUGGGACUGAGUCACGGCCCAGACUCCUACGGGGGGCAGCAGUGGGGAAUUUUGGACAAUGGGCGAAAGCCUGAUCCAGCCAUGCCGCGUGCGGGAAGAAGGCCUUCGGGUUGUAAACCGCUUUUGUCAGGGAAGAAAUCCUUUGAGCUAAUACCUCGGGGGGAUGACGGUACCUGAAGAAUAAGCACCGGCUAACUACGUGCCAGCCGCCGCGGUAA
rnacentral:rRNA from 1 species